GUGUUGUCCAGGACGUCGCUCUCGUCGCCUGGAUCUUCCAUGUCAAAAGGGAAAACGGUGUCCGGUUCCUGAGGCGUGACCACAUUCCGACUUUCCACAACCCCACUCUUGUCCACGAAGUACGUCUGCCCGUCUUUGACUCAACCUUGGCGAACAGCGGAGCCACAGUUUGCCAGCAGCGAUCUGGAAGGCAGAAGUCAGCCUCGUUUGCACGAACCCUUCUGCUUCAGACGUCGGGAGUGCGGGGGUCACCCCUAGAGGGACGAGGAUAGGCGCGCCGGGGUCUGAUGACAUUCAGCAAGUUAAAUCGCCUUAUCGCCCUGGCAACUUCCCCUGCUGGGUCGGACAGAGUUCAACCAAUCAGAGUUUUGGGGGAAUUUCAUUUCAGUUCAGUCAGUUGAGGAAACGGAUUGAAAUUAAUUUGAUGAAUUAAAAAAAUUCCACUGACUACAGCCAUACAUUCAUUUUUGGGGAACUGCAAUUCAACAGUUUUAUAUCAUCCAUAUAUAACCGUAUGUGCGUAUACCCUGAAGUCAGCAAUGAGCAAGAUGUUUUUACCCAAAACCUGGUACCCCACGCCCAUGCCAAAUAUGUGGAUAACUUCAUAUCCACAUAUUUAGCAACCAAAGGGUGGCAAAUGUACACACACACGCACACACACGCACGCACACACACACACGCACACACACACGUAGGCACAUUGAUUUCCAGUCCAUUCCAUCUUCUGUGACACGCUUCUUCAUCAUGCUGCUCCUGUCAGGCUCUGGGCUGUGGCGCUCCUGCCCCAGAGGACCCUGGGAGACUGACAGCCCCUCCAUCCCCCCCCCUCUGCCCAGACACCCUGUUUGCUCCGGAUUAACGAGGCGUCGA